UGGACAAUCACCCUUGAUGCUAAAUCACCCAAGCACAUUAAUUGAAUUUUCAAGUGACGAGGGUAAUCCUAAGCACUUAAUGGUCAGAAGUGAGGGGGCACAAACUAUUUUUGGAAUUCGAAUUUGUCUUUAUUAUGUGGUGUACACCUUUGUUGGGGUACUAAGUGCCAUCAAUAAAUAGCUAGCAGCAAUUGAUGGCUUACAACAUGCCAGAAUCAGAUUAUAGUUAACAGUUCUAGGUAGAGCUUGGCAAAGUUAGAUUGAAUGCUGACCUUGUACUAAACAAUACCUCUAUGUCUGGGGGAACAAAACUGUACUAAGUACAGAUCAUCCAGAAUAAAUAAAGGAAGGAAGUACUUUCAUUUCAUUCAUUAUGAAAUGUCAUUUGCUUAACUGACUUUUUUGACGUUAAAGAUAAAUAUUUGUUCAGGUUUUAUAGGGUCACUCUAUGGAGAAAUAGGCUAUUACUUGGCC
rnacentral:lncRNA from 1 species